rnacentral:rRNA from 1 species
GGAUUCCCCUAGUAACGGCGAGUGAAGCGGGAAAAGCUCAAAUUUGAAAUCUGGCGGUCUACGGCCGUCCGAGUUGUAGUCUAGAGAGGUGUCUUCUGCGUCGGACCAUGCGCAAGUCCCUUGGAACAGGGCGUCAUAGAGGGUGAGAAUCCCGUCCGUGGCAUGGACUCCCGGUGCUUUGUGAUGCGCCUUCGAAGAGUCGAGUCGUUUGGGAAUGCAGCUCAAAAUGGGUGGUAAAUUCCAUCUAAGGCUAAAUACAGGCGAGAGACCGAUAGCGAACAAGUACCGUGAGGGAAAGAUGAAAAGCACUUUGGAAAGAGAGUUAAACAGUACGUGAAAUUGUUGAAAGGGAAACGCUUGGAGUCAGUCGCGUUUGCCGGGACUCAGCCUUGCUUCUGCUUGGUGCACUUCCUGGUACACGGGCCAGCAUCGAUUUUGAUCGCCGGAAAAAGGCUUGGGGAAGGUGGCACCUUCGGGUGUGUUAUAGCCCCUUGUUGUAUACGGUGGUUGGGAUUGAGGACCGCAGCACGCCUUUUGGUCGGGGUUCGCCCACGCCACGUGCUUAGGAUGCUGGCGUAAUGGCUUUAAACGACCCGUCUUGAAACACGGACCAAGGAGUCUAACAUGCCUGCGAGUGUUUGGGUGUAAAACCCAGGCGCGUAAUGAAAGUGAAAGGUUGGGACUCUUCGCUGAGGCACCGACGCCCGAUCCUGACGUUCUCUGACGGAUUUGAGGUAGAGCAUGUAUGUUGGGACCCGAAAGAUGGUGAACUAUGCCUGAACAGGGCGAAGCCAGAGGAAACUCUGGUGGAGGCUCGUAGCGAUUCUGACGUGCAAAUCGAUCGUCAAAUUUGGGUAUAGGGGCGAAAGACUAAUCGAACCAUCUAGUAGCUGGUUCCUGCCCGAAGUUU